AACGAUCCUAGCUUGCUAGGAGGCGUCGAGCGGCGGACGGGUGAGUAAUGCAUAGGAAUCUGCCCGGUAGUGGGGGAUAACUUGAGGAAACUCAAGCUAAUACCGCAUACGCCCCAAGGGGGAAAGCAGGGGAUCUUCGGACCUUGCGCUAUCGGAUGAGCCUAUGUCGGAUUAGCUAGUUGGUGAGGUAAUGGCUCACCAAGGCCGCGAUCCGUAGCUGGUCUGAGAGGAUGAUCAGCCACAUCGGGACUGAGACACGGCCCGAACUCCUACGGGAGGCAGCAGUGGGGAAUAUUGGACAAUGGGCGAAAGCCUGAUCCAGCCAUGCCGCGUGUGUGAAGAAGGCCCUCGGGUUGUAAAGCACUUUCAGCGAGGAAGAACGCCUGUGGGUUAAUACCCCGCAGGAAGGACAUCACUCGCAGAAGAAGCACCGGCUAACUCCGUGCCAGCAGCCGCGGUAAUACGGAGGGUGCAAGCGUUAAUCGGAAUUACUGGGCGUAAAGCGCGCGUAGGCGGCUUGAUAAGCCGGUUGUGAAAGCCCCGGGCUCAACCUGGGAACGGCAUCCGGAACUGUCAGGCUAGAGUGCAGGAGAGGAAGGUAGAAUUCCCGGUGUAGCGGUGAAAUGCGUAGAGAUCGGGAGGAAUACCAGUGGCGAAGGCGGCCUUCUGGACUGACACUGACGCUGAGGUGCGAAAGCGUGGGUAGCAAACAGGAUUAGAUACCCUGGUAGUCCACGCCGUAAACGAUGUCGACUAGCCGUUGGGGUCCUCGAGACCUUUGUGGCGCAGUUAACGCGAUAAGUCGACCGCCUGGGGAGUACGGCCGCAAGGUUAAAACUCAAAUGAAUUGACGGGGGCCCGCACAAGCGGUGGAGCAUGUGGUUUAAUUCGAUGCAACGCGAAGAACCUUACCUACUCUUGACAUCGAGCGAACUUUCCAGAGAUGGAU
rnacentral:rRNA from 1 species